ACAACAAAACGUUGACAACUCUUAGCGGUGGAUCACUCGGCUCGUGCGU
rnacentral:rRNA from 1 species